AUCAAACUCUGUCUAACGAAUAAGACGCUCCGAAUUGUGAGCUAAAGCUAACCCACCCAGAGCCCGAAGCACUGAAUAAAUCAGCAGCAGAGCGCGGGGAGAGCUGUUAGCUGAGGAUGGGAUGGAGAUGUAUAAAGGAGACGAAGGAGGACGGAGACCGAAGCCAGGGACAGAGAGCACGCUGGAGCGCCUCUGCAGGACAGCGUCUCUCUCAGGCUGGUUUGCCGCAACCAGACACAGGACGCGACGCAUGGGAGCGGUCAGCAGCUGCCGGACCUCCACUCUGCGGCUCUGAGGAGGCCCGGACAGGGGGCAAGCAGGCUGGACACAUUGCACAAUAGCUGGCCGUGGCUUUGACAAUGCCUGUCCUGCUCUCUCCACCCGCCCCCCUGCCCCAAGCCUACCGCCUUGAGACCUGGAGCGCGUUCACCGUGACACCCGCAUUCAGCCAGACAGACAGACGGACAAAGGCAAGUGCAGAGGGAGAGCGAGAGAAAAGAAGAAAGGGCGAGUGGGUGAGAGAACGAUGGCGAAGAAAAAAAGAAUAUAAAAUGGAAAAAAUGGUGGGGGAGAGAUCGACUGACCACGCUCACCUUUUGUCCUGUCUAGUAUUUUACUUUCUUUCUUUUUUUUUGGUUUGACUAAUUUCCCAGUUUCUUCCUUCUCUUUUAUGGGAAUACAUGAAGUUUGAACGAGAGACACAGAGACAGUGAAAGAGAGCAAGCGAGAGAGAGAGAGUGCAGGUACAUUAAACACAGGGAAAAGUCUACAGUGUUAUUUUUACCGCGCUUUCUCUAGGUUGGUGUCUCAGUUUCGGACAGCUCCCUCACGCUUCUCCUGUGACGCUCCCCGCUCGCUCGGGUCCAGGCUGGCCACGCUGCUGGAGGGAAGCAGAUUGGCGCAGAGGUAGCAGCAGCUGCGGCUCUUUUUGUUGUUGUUGUUGUUGUUUCUGCUGGGCUUUAUGAAUCCCUCCUGCUUCUGUACACAGUUGCAGCACAAGGACUUUCUAGGCAGCACCCCCUCCCUCUCAUAGCACUUGCAAGUGAAGGAUACACUGGGGAGGCAGCACUGUGAGCUGAGAGUGUGGCUCAGAGCAUCCACCUCCACCAUUAUUGCCCUGCACAGCUUUUAUCACUGCCAUUAAUCUCCUCCUUCAGCAGUGUUACCCCAUAAAGAGGCAACCUGCAAAUAUCGGAAGCUCUCCACCCCACAGAGAAACGUCGAGGACAGCCACAGGCGCUAUUACACAGACUAAUAGCAAUUCCGCCCAUAUGUCUGAGCUAAAGCCUGGUGGGAACCCGAGUCGGCGAUGAUUACUGCAGCACCCAUCAAAUUUAACUGGUCAUCAAGACAUAAUUGAAAGGCAACUAACUGCCUGCUGAGUGCAUUCUGUUGAAAAGGCAUUCAGACACCAGCAAGGUGAAACUUAAUUAGACGUAAUGUGCUCAAAGGCGCUACUUUCAACAUAAGAUGAUGGAAGGCUUAAGCACUACGCUUUGCUGAGUAAAUGCACCCUGUCCAUAGGCGCAGUGUAGACUGAAUCUGGCCUCAUCAAACGGUCAAAGAGGAGGAAGCCUUCGACCUAUUUUUCACCUCUAAGCUUUUCAGUGCAACCUCACUACCCUUUCAACAGACUGCGUUCAGUAAGACUUUAAUUAAAGAGGAACAAAGAGGGAAAGAAUAAGCAAUAGCAGAAUUAGAAAAACCUGGUCAAUCCUACACCAACUGAAGAAAACACAAGUGCUGUUAAGCUACAAAAGCCUAACGGUCACUGUGAAACCUAAAAUACCCGAAAGGCAUGUUUUAUCUCACUGCGUAACAUCUUAACCUGCACAACUGCAAGACCACAACACUAUAUGACUCGAUGAAAGAUGAAGACGACAGGUAAUUACUCUUCACUUCUCACUGGACUUUCGCUACUUUUCAACACACUGUUCAGUCAGAUGAAUGUCAAAGAAAGUUCAAAUGAUUUUAAUAGAAAACUUAGCAAAAGGACAGAUAUUACCACUAGUAGAGUCAGGAAAAAGACUCAGUAGUCAUUCUACCAAUUUGUAAAGCAACAGAUGAGAAUCCACAUGCAAUUACAGUGCAAAUGUUUAAAAAGCACGGUGACAUCUAAAGCAUCCCAAGGGCAUUUUUUCUUUCAUAGUUUCUUCACUUGGCCCCUUAGGAGGUGACCAUAUGUGCAUAAUAAAGAAAGCCGGAAGGUAAGAAAUUACAUAGUACAUAAUAUAAACGAGGCACACAAUGGCAAUGCAUUGUAUACUAUAUUUCUGAACCCUUUUUACAGACACAAGAUUAGGCAACACUGAAUAUGUGAUCUGAAUUUGUUUAAGAUCACUUGAGUGCGUUAAGCUUUUUUAGGGAAAUGGAAAUCUCCAUAAAGCAAGACUAAGAGGGGCCAGAUAACACGUCUGCCUUACACAGAGAAGACUGGGGCUUGAUUCCCAUUUAGGCAGGAAUACAAGCAAGACUCAAACCACUUAUCUACCUUGUUAAGCCUCUGGAUAGGAGUUUCUUCUACAACUGUAAGAAAGAAUAAAGAACAGCCUCCAACAGCAGUCCUUGCAGUAUAAAAUGGAUCAUUUUAGUAAAUAAAAUCAAUAAAUCA